GCCCAGGAUUAUCACAUGUCCUCAGUCCCUGCUCAGGACAGAACACAGACCACUCAACAUGGAGUUUUCUCUCAGCUGGGUUUUCCUUUUUGCAGUUUUAACAGGUGUCCAGUGUGAUGUGCAGCUGGUGGAGUCUGGGGGAGGCUUGGUGAAGCCUGGGGGGUCUCUGAGACUCUCUUGUGCAGCCUCUGGAUUCACCUUCAGUAGCUACUAUAUGGACUGGGUCCGCCAGGCUCCAGGGAAGGGGCUGGAGUGGGUCUCAUUCAUUAGUAGUAAUGGUGGUAGCACAAACUACGCCAACUCUGUGAAGGGCCGAUUCACCAUCUCCAGAGACAAUGCCAAGAACGAGCUCUACCUGCAAAUGAACAGCCUGAGAGCUGAAGACACGGCCAUCUAUUACUGUGCAAGAGAUUUUUACAUCCAACCAGAGUGUCUGCUGGACCCAACACUGCAGCCCAGCCCCACACACCUCAGAGUCCCAGCAGGCCUGGAGCAGGACGUGUGCUUACUGGACUCUGGGCACCAGAGUGAUAUGAACCCCAUGCCAGAGGACAAGGGCCCCAGUGCUGAUGGUCAUUGA